rnacentral:rRNA from 1 species
ACGAACCGUCCAAACGUUACUCGGAAUCACUGGGCUUAAAGGGUGCGUAGGCCGCGCGGAGGGUGGGAUGUGAAAUCCCCCGGCUCAACCGGGGAAUAGCGUCCCAAACCGCCGUGCUCGAGGGAGACAGAGGUGAGCGGAACUGAUGGUGGAGCGGUGAAAUGCGUUGAUAUCAUCAGGAACACCAGUGGCGAAAGCGGUUCACUGGGUCUUUCCUAACGCUGAGGCACGAAAGCUAGGGGAGCGAACG